rnacentral:ncRNA from 14 species
CAAGUCUGGUGAACGCACGCGAGUUCCAAUCUCCUGCACACACAGCCCUCACUAACAAAAAAUCACGCCAGAUGUCGUCAGCCCAUUCUCACACAGGUCGUGCUGCUCACAACAAAAGCAACCGGCACGGCCUUAGUAUCUGCGAGGCAAAUGAUUCGCUCGUGGAGACUUGUUUGGGAGUGGUUGACGCCCGUGCGGUGCAGAUCAUGCGGUACUCCCGCACUGCGUGUCUCAUCCUUGAUACACCCAGUGAUGGUCGAUUUACGCAAAACCAGGUAAAACACUUUUACAUUUACCAGGCGGUGGCAUUUCGCAAAUUCGGGCGCAACCUCAUGGCUACUGUGCUGGCCUCAAAAGCCAACACAGACCUUACGAUUUCUCAUGUUUGUGGUGUCAGGUUUUCUUGAAUGCUUCCCACAUGGUUCUCGAACCCAAGCAAGUGAAUGAUAAACGUGUGCACUGCCAUGUGUUUUUAGCAUAUAUAGCAGAUAACACGAAGAGACUAGCUCUUGCUGAAGAGCACUGUCCUCAUUCACCUAAGUGCUACACUGUCUCAAAACGUGGUUACGGCAAAAGAUGGGCGUUGAGCUCCCAUCAUACACUUCGAAAUUGUCGGGGACGGCCCCACAAAGGACUAUCAUUUUGUCUUUUAGAAGCUCUGGCUACCGCGGUCCGCCGAGAGGUAAAAGCGAGCAAUCGUUUAGGAUGCAGCAGUGCACGUAACGGUGCAUGGAUGGUAAAAACGUCAGUGUUGGGCUAAUCCGCAGGGAAGCGCGAUCAUGUGAUGGAUGGAGGAAUAGGGGCAUUGGCCAGUCAAUCGUACUUGUGGCGGGUACUCGUCUGGUCGGAUCACAUGAAGGCGAACCUUCAGAGACUGUAAUGGAGUGGGCGCAAGCUUAAGGGACAGUCCAAUCCCCGGGGCAACCCGGUCCACAGGAAUAGAGGGUUUAGCUCGCCCUUGAGGACUGUGGAGAGGAGCACUAAAGAAAGCUCUUUGGUAGAAAUGGCCAGCAGCCGCGGUAAUUCCAGCU